rnacentral:rRNA from 1 species
UACGUAGGGUGCAAGCGUUAAUCGGAAUUACUGGGCGUAAAGCGUGCGCAGGCGGUUUUGUAAGUCAGAUGUGAAAUCCCCGGGCUUAACCUGGGAAUUGCAAUGGAGACUGCAAGGCUGGAGUCUGGCAGAGGGGGUAGAAUUCCACGUGUGAGCAGUGAAAUGCGUAGAGAUGUGGAGGAACACCGAUGGCGAAGGCAGCCCCUGGGUCAAGACUGACGCUCAUGCACGAAAGCGUGGGAGCAAACGG